AUUUUUUUCUCCCACCAUCUCUCCUCUCUCGGGCUCUCUCUCCCGCCUCUCCUCUCUGCCGCCAUGACAUCUCUCCUUGUCGCCAGCUCUCCUCUCUCUCACACACAGCCGGAUCUACUUUAUCUCACGCCCCACACCACCAUGGUUGGAGGAAGCAAGGCACGAUGAGGCCGGAGCCACACUUCCAUGGGAAAUGAAGGAUUGAGAAGAAGCUUGAUGGUUAAGGAGACAGGGCCGGUGGUGGUGCGGCUGUGGUUGUGGUUCGGCUCUGGUGGUGGUGCGGCGGAGGACGCAAGGAGUCGGCUGAUUUAUUUUCUAGGGUUAAUUUUUUUUUUAGAAUUAGGUUUGGUUAAGUUUAGUUAGGUUAGCUUAAUUAGGUUUAGUUAAACCGGUUUAUUUAACUAAGCCAGCUUAUUAUAAUUUUUUAGCUUAUUAUAAUUUUUUUAGGCUUUU